AUGUGUUUUCCUGUUUUCCAUUUCGGUCCCCGUCACCCUCUGCCUUUUCUGCUCCUCGGAGUCAACAGCUGCUGCAGCUCGAGCCUUAGCCGGCUUCCCUUCCUAGCACCUUCCCCUCCCCCGCCCCCCAGCGUGCUGGUAGCCCCUCCUCCUCGCACCUGCCCAAAGGUCACGGGACAGGUAAUUGACGAGGGAGCCAUCUGAAGUGUUUUCCUGUCUGAGGGGAAGGCCUAGCGAUGGGGCAGGUCGGAGCAGGUCGGAGCGGGUGAGAGGUGGGGGAGAUGCGCAGUGCCCUUCAGAGCCUGGACUCUGCUGGCGAGGCUCCCCGCCUCCCUGGCUAGUUUGCACCCUGGCACGUGGCUUAGUGCCAGCCGUAAGGGGCUGCAGGCGGGAUUGGGCCAGAUAAGGCAUUUGGGUGCUUAGCAUAUGUCUGGCACUGGGUAAGUGCUCCAUAAAUGACCGCUAUCAUUAUCAGAGCCUGGAGGGGGCAGCUGGAAGCCAAGGACAGGACCCUCUGGAGGGAUUUCCAGAUAUUUGUGAGGAUGGCUUGGGGGAAGCGUGAUCUCUGGGAAGGCUGACACCAGGAUAUUCAAUUAAGGGGCUUGAAUGCAAAGACACAGGGUAGAGAUAAGCCCCCACCCCCUGGGGAUUUUUAGAUCUUUAUUCUCCGGUUGUAGAAUAACCAAAGAGGGUUAGAAAGAGUGUGGGAAGACACCGACAGAUUUCAGAACAGAUAGGAUGUAUUUCAGUUGGUAAAAGAGACCCAGAAUACCAGAUUGAAGUAGACUAUGAAGAUAGACUAUGUGAUUUCCAAAAAAUGUUUAACUUUCUCUGUUCUGGGCCUGUCUGUCCAGGAUAGCUCAAUGAAAUCUUAUUUCUCCGUAUUUUUAGGAAAUUGGAUUAAACUUAUAGGUGGGAAGGUGUUUAUAGGAAUUUAUGGUUUCUUUUGAGGAUGGAAGGGCACCAUGCAGCCAGGGGUUUGAAUCUCCUUUCUUGACCUUGUUUCCUUGGAAGUAGCUUGAGGCUCAGCCAUGGGGUCCUGGCUCAAAUUUGGGGGCAGCUAUCCUUUGCUCUGAGGGGAAGUGUGCAGAGUUCCUCUCUAAGGACUCCCGUCACAAGGCCACGAGGCGUGGGGACUGCACUCACACUUCCUCUAAUCUCAGCACAGCACCGAGCCUUUGUGGCACCCUUGCCACCUCCCUGC
rnacentral:lncRNA from 1 species